rnacentral:rRNA from 1 species
GAUGAACGCUGGCGGCGUGCCUAAUACAUGCAAGUCGAGCGAACGGACGAGAAGCUUGCUUCUCUGAUGUUAGCGGCGGACGGGUGAGUAACACGUGGAUAACCUACCUAUAAGACUGGGAUAACUUCGGGAAACCGGAGCUAAUACCGGAUAAUAUUUUGAACCGCAGGGUUCCCAAGUGAAAGACGCUCGUUCUGUCACUUAUAGAUGGAUCCGCGCUGCAUUCGCUAGUUGGUAAGGUAACGGCUUACCAAGGCAACGAUGCAUAGCCGACCUGAGAGGGUGAUCGGCCACCCUGGAACUGAGACACGGUCCAGACUCCUACGGGAGGCAGCAGUAGGGAAUCUUCCGCAAUGGGCGAAAGCCUGACGGAGCAACGCCGCGUGAGUGAUGAAGGUGUUCGGAUCGUAAAACUCUGUUAUUAGGGAAGAACAUAUGUGUAAGUAACUGGGCACAUCUUGACGGUACCUAAUCAGAAAGCCACGGCUAACUACGUG